AGCUGGUCUAUUCCCAGCUCUUUGACGACCCUUAGUCCUGCAAUCAGAGCUUGAUAUUCCGCUCCAUUGUUUGUUGCGGAGAACUCAAAACGCAGAGCGUACUCCGCGACGAUUCCCUCUGGACUGACCAAGAUUAGGCCUGCACCCGUGCUUGACAUGUUGGAAGACCCAUCCACAUAGAGGGCCCAAAAGCGAUCAGAGGGAUCCGCUUCUUCUUUGGGGGA
rnacentral:lncRNA from 1 species